GACGAACGCUGGCGGCGUGCUUAACACAUGCAAGUCGAACGGAAAGGCCCUGCUUUUGUGGGGUGCUCGAGUGGCGAACGGGUGAGUAACACGUGAGUAACCUGCCCUUGACUUUGGGAUAACUUCAGGAAACUGGGGCUAAUACCGGAUAGGAGCUCCUGCUGCAUGGUGGGGGUUGGAAAGUUUCGGCGGUUGGGGAUGGACUCGCGGCUUAUCAGCUUGUUGGUGGGGUAGUGGCUUACCAAGGCUUUGACGGGUAGCCGGCCUGAGAGGGUGACCGGCCACAUUGGGACUGAGAUACGGCACAGACUCCUACGGGAGGCAGCAGUGGGGAAUAUUGCACAAUGGGCGGAAGCCUGAUGCAGCAACGCCGCGUGCGGGAUGACGGCCUUCGGGUUGUAAACCGCUUUCGCCUGUGACGAAGCGUGAGUGACGGUAAUGGGUAACGAAGCACCGGCUAACUACGUG
rnacentral:rRNA from 1 species